UUAAGCGACUAAGCGUACACGGUGGAUGCCCUGGCAGUCAGAGGCGAUGAAGGACGUGCUAAUCUGCGAUAAGCGUCGGUAAGGUGAUAUGAACCGUUAUAACCGGCGAUUUCCGAAUGGGGAAACCCAGUGUGAUUCGUCACACUAUCAUUAACUGAAUCCAUAGGUUAAUGAGGCGAACCGGGGGAACUGAAACAUCUAAGUACCCCGAGGAAAAGAAAUCAACCGAGAUUCCCCCAGUAGCGGCGAGCGAACGGGGAGCAGCCCAGAGCCUGAAUCAGUGUGUGUGUUAGUGGAAGCGUCUGGAAAGGCGCGCGAUACAGGGUGACAGCCCCGUACACAAAAAUGCACAUGCUGUGAGCUCGAUGAGUAGGGCGGGACACGUGGUAUCCUGUCUGAAUAUGGGGGGACCAUCCUCCAAGGCUAAAUACUCCUGACUGACCGAUAGUGAACCAGUACCGUGAGGGAAAGGCGAAAAGAACCCCGGCGAGGGGAGUGAAAAAGAACCUGAAACCGUGUACGUACAAGCAGUGGGAGCACGCUUAGGCGUGUGACUGCGUACCUUUUGUAUAAUGGGUCAGCGACUUAUAUUCUGUAGCAAGGUUAACCGAAUAGGGGAGCCGAAGGGAAACCGAGUCUUAACUGGGCGUUAAGUUGCAGGGUAUAGACCCGAAACCCGGUGAUCUAGCCAUGGGCAGGUUGAAGGUUGGGUAACACUAACUGGAGGACCGAACCGACUAAUGUUGAAAAAUUAGCGGAUGACUUGUGGCUGGGGGUGAAAGGCCAAUCAAACCGGGAGAUAGCUGGUUCUCCCCGAAAGCUAUUUAGGUAGCGCCUCGUGAAUUCAUCUCCGGGGGUAGAGCACUGUUUCGGCAAGGGGGUCAUCCCGACUUACCAACCCGAUGCAAACUGCGAAUACCGGAGAAUGUUAUCACGGGAGACACACGGCGGGUGCUAACGUCCGUCGUGAAGAGGGAAACAACCCAGACCGCCAGCUAAGGUCCCAAAGUCAUGGUUAAGUGGGAAACGAUGUGGGAAGGCCCAGACAGCCAGGAUGUUGGCUUAGAAGCAGCCAUCAUUUAAAGAAAGCGUAAUAGCUCACUGGUCGAGUCGGCCUGCGCGGAAGAUGUAACGGGGCUAAACCAUGCACCGAAGCUGCGGCAGCGACGCUGAUGCGUUGUUGGGUAGGGGAGCGUUCUGUAAGCCUGCGAAGGUGUGCUGUGAGGCAUGCUGGAGGUAUCAGAAGUGCGAAUGCUGACAUAAGUAACGAUAAAGCGGGUGAAAAGCCCGCUCGCCGGAAGACCAAGGGUUCCUGUCCAACGUUAAUCGGGGCAGGGUGAGUCGACCCCUAAGGCGAGGCCGAAAGGCGUAGUCGAUGGGAAACAGGUUAAUAUUCCUGUACUUGGUGUUACUGCGAAGGGGGGACGGAGAAGGCUAUGUUGGCCGGGCGACGGUUGUCCCGGUUUAAGCGUGUAGGCUGGUUUUCCAGGCAAAUCCGGAAAAUCAAGGCUGAGGCGUGAUGACGAGGCACUACGGUGCUGAAGCAACAAAUGCCCUGCUUCCAGGAAAAGCCUCUAAGCAUCAGGUAACAUCAAAUCGUACCCCAAACCGACACAGGUGGUCAGGUAGAGAAUACCAAGGCGCUUGAGAGAACUCGGGUGAAGGAACUAGGCAAAAUGGUGCCGUAACUUCGGGAGAAGGCACGCUGAUAUGUAGGUGAAGUCCCUCGCGGAUGGAGCUGAAAUCAGUCGAAGAUACCAGCUGGCUGCAACUGUUUAUUAAAAACACAGCACUGUGCAAACACGAAAGUGGACGUAUACGGUGUGACGCCUGCCCGGUGCCGGAAGGUUAAUUGAUGGGGUUAGCGCAAGCGAAGCUCUUGAUCGAAGCCCCGGUAAACGGCGGCCGUAACUAUAACGGUCCUAAGGUAGCGAAAUUCCUUGUCGGGUAAGUUCCGACCUGCACGAAUGGCGUAAUGAUGGCCAGGCUGUCUCCACCCGAGACUCAGUGAAAUUGAACUCGCUGUGAAGAUGCAGUGUACCCGCGGCAAGACGGAAAGACCCCGUGAACCUUUACUAUAGCUUGACACUGAACAUUGAGCCUUGAUGUGUAGGAUAGGUGGGAGGCUUUGAAGUGUGGACGCCAGUCUGCAUGGAGCCGACCUUGAAAUACCACCCUUUAAUGUUUGAUGUUCUAAC
rnacentral:rRNA from 1 species